GCUGGGAAAGCUCAGUGGGUGGAACAUGAGACUCUUACUCUCAGGUUCGUGGGUUCGAGCCCUAUAUUGGGCA